rnacentral:tRNA from 1 species
CUGCCUGUAGCUCAGUUGGUAGAGCAUGGUGCUUAAAACACCAGUAUAGUUGGUUUGAUUCCCAGGAACA